rnacentral:lncRNA from 1 species
AACAUAAUCAUUUAUAAAAUCAAAACAUAGGCCGACAAGGCCGUACAAUCUUUCACGUACACAACAUAUGUCUAGAAAGCCUCUAAGAAUACAUAAAUAUCAUAAAGGUCGAGACAGAGUCCUGCCAUACCAAACAAUAUACGUCUAACUCAUACUAACCAAACAAGCAACUCCGAAGCAAAUGGAGCGCACCAACAUCUUCCGCUGAGCUGAUAGCCUACAUGGAGGGCUCUCGACCUGUCUAUUGGGACCUGCGGGCAUAAAACGCAGCGUCCCAAGCAAAAGGGACGUCAGUACGAAUAAUGUACUGAGUAUGUAAGGGACAUAAAUAAAUACAUAAGAGACAUGGAAGACAUAUAGAGUACAUGACUCAACCUGUAAGUCUGAAUAACUUUGUAAAUCAUAAAUUACUCUUAGUGUCAUGCUUAUGCGUAUGAAUGUCAUGUCAUGCAUAGGUACAUGUUUCAUAACAUCAUCAGCCUCUGAGGGCAUCCCAUCAUAUCAUAUCGGCCACUGCAGGUAAAAUCAUCAUCGUAUACCAGCUGAUCAGGUGGUGGUGCGUAUAUAACGCCAUAACUUUUCCCAUAUCCCAUAUACAUAUAUAUACAUACAUACAUAUGCAUAUAUAAUGCCGUUUGAAUUAUAUUUACGCGUAUAUAACGCCGUUUUAANCAUAUUUCAGCCGUUGUGGGCAGCAUCAUCAUCAUAUACCAGCUGAUCAGGUGGUACGUAUAUAACGCCGUAACCUUUUCCCAUAUCCCAUAUACAUAUAUUUACAUAUAUACGCGUAUAUAACGCCAUCUGUUCAUGGGUCAAUGCACAUGAAUGCAAUGCAUGAAAAGCACGUCAAUAAAAUCAUUCGGAAUGUCAUAAGACCAUUUUUCCUUUGAGUAAUAUCAUAAAGUAAACUCUUUUCAACUUUCGUAUUUUUCUGAGACCCAUGAACAGAUGAUAAAAUAUUAUGGCACGUGAAAAUUCAAGAACAUGGAUAUCUCUAAUACUUCUAUGGAUAGAGUCAUUAAUGAAAUUUGUGCAUUUGCACGUUUCGUUCGUAUCGUAUGGAUCAUGCCAAAAGAAUAGAAGGGAUAGCCUUAACAUACCUGUUUCCUGAAUUAUAUGAACAAAUCUGCUCCUGCGAAAUAUGGACAAAAUUUAUACUCGGAUUUUCCUUGAAAUUGGAACGAACUUGUUUUGGAUUUGAAAUUUUGGAAGAACAUUUGAUUUUGCUUCUAACGUUUUUGUGCAGAAAUGGAUUUAAUCUUGAUGUUAGCUUUGAAACUACAAAAAAACGUUGAGACUAAGCCAAAAAAACAUUGAACCAAGAAAGUGUAAAAGCAAGACUUCAAACAAUUGUUUCCCUUGAAGUCUUGAAAGGAAAAACGUUUCUGGUUCUUUUGGUUUUGAAAGAAUAACCUUUCUUGGAUUCAUUUUGUUCAUUUU